GCCGCGCAGUGACACCCCGUUCCUAAGGGCAGAGCUUUUCUUGCCUUUCGCUUCAGACCCACUGCACUUGGUUACGUGCUUUUCCUCCGCUGUCCGCUUCGUUUAUCUGCUUUAACCCAGCCUGGGCUAGGUAGGCCUGAAGCCUAUAAUGUUGCUUGGCUGUUGCUCAGGAGAAGAAAGGCCCAGGUGGCCAGUUUGGCAACUGGCACAGUCCCUGUGAGCACCCACCUGCUGAUGGUCCUUCUGUCACUACGUAGUCGCUCCGACGCCAGGAAAGUGCGGUGGUGGCCAUUUUGGAACUGGGCAACUUUCACUUCGCCAAUCAUCUUGGGGUCUGGCCACCACAGUACUUUUUUUUCAUUAUUAUUCUGGCAGAGAACACGUUAUGGAGGGAUAAUUAUGUAGCCUAGAAUUUCUAGAGUUGUUUCAGGACUCAUAAUAUCCUCAUUCCAGAAUAUGAGAAUAUAGAAGCUUGGAAUACUCAGAUGCAAAUUCCAGCACCACCCUUUCCUAAUUGAUUGAGGAACACAUCUGACUCUAGUCUACGGUCCUGUGGAAAGACCUGUGACCCUAGGCAAAGAGCUUAAAGAAAUCUCUCUUUUUUUUUUUUUUUU
rnacentral:lncRNA from 1 species